AUUGAACGCUGGCGGCAUGCCUUACACAUGCAAGUCGAACGGCAGCACGGGAGCAAUCCUGGUGGCGAGUGGCGAACGGGUGAGUAAAGUAUCGGAACGUGCCCAGUCGUGGGGGAUAACGUAGCGAAAGUUACGCUAAUACCGCAUAAGAUCUAUGGAUGAAAGCGGGGGAUCGCAAGACCUCGCGCGAUUGGAGCGGCCGAUAUCAGAUUAGGUAGUUGGUGGUAAAGGCUCACCAAGCCGACGAUCUGUAGCUGGUCUGAGAGGACGACCAGCCACACUGGGACUGAGACACGGCCCAGACUCCUACGGGAGGCAGCAGUGGGGAAUUUUGGACAAUGGGCGAAAGCCUGAUCCAGCCAUGCCGCGUGCAGGAUGAAGGCCUUCGGGUUGUAAACUGCUUUUGUACGGAACGAAAAGGUUUGGGCUAAUAAGCUGAGCUCAUGACGGUACCGUAAGAAUAAGCACCGGCUAACUACGUGCCAGCAGCCGCCGCCG
rnacentral:rRNA from 1 species